GAUGAACGCUGGCGGCGUGCCUAAUACAUGCAAGUCGAGCGAAUGGAUUAAGAGCUUGCCCUUAUGAAGUUAGCGGCGGACGGGUGAGUAACACGUGGGUAACCUGCCCAUAAGACUGGGACAACUCCGGGAAACCGGGGCUAAUACCGGAUAAUAUUUUGAACUGCAUGGUUCAAAAUUGAAAGGCGGCUUCGGCUGUCACUUAUGGAUGGACCCGCGUCGGAUUAGCUAGUUGGUGAGGUAACGGCUCACCAAGGCAACGAUGCGUAGCCGACCGGGGAGGGUGAUCGGCCACACUGGGACUGGGACACGGCCCAGACUCCUACGGGAGGCAGCAGUAGGGAAUCUUCCGCAAUGGACGAAAGUCUGACGGAGCAACGCCGCGUGAGUGAUGAAGGCUUUCGGGUCGUAAAACUCUGUUGUUAGGGAAGAACAAGUGCUAGUUGAAUAAGCUGGCACCUUGACGGUACCUAACCAGAAAGCCACGGCUAACUACGUGCCAGCAGCCGCCGUAA
rnacentral:rRNA from 1 species